GGGGCUAUGGCGCAGUUGGUAGCGCGUUUCAAUGGCAUUGAAAAGGUCGGGGGUUCAAAUCCCCCUAGCUCCA
rnacentral:tRNA from 1 species